GUGGGGACGACUCUUCUGGAGGAAGCAGCGCGGGCUUGACCGGCGUCGGCCCGCCGCCUCCGCUGCCGCUUCGCCCCAAUCCGGUCCCUCUGACCCGGCCUGACCCGGUCUGGCUUGUUCGGGCUCAGCGGCCGCGAGGCCGCAGCUCCCGAUGGAAAUCAUAUUAUGUAGAAUACUUGGGUGACAUCUGCCUGAGAGAUCUCCAAGAAUUACAGAUUGAGUCUCGCUCUGUUGCCCAGGCUGGAGUGCAGUGGUGCAAUCUCUGCUCACUGCAACCUCCGUCUCCCGAGUUCAAGCAGUUCUCCUGCCUCAGCCUCCUGAGUAGCUGGGAUUACAGGCCGUUGAUGCUCACUGCCAUCAGCUGCAUCCUCCCUAUGGCACUGGUAUCUCAUUCAGUUGCUAAACUUAUAUUAGUUAAUUUCCACUGGCAAGUUUCAGAGAUAUUGGACAGAUACAAGUCCAAUUCUGCUCAACUGCUUGUUGAGGCUCGAGUUCAGCCUAAUCCAUCAAAACAUGU
rnacentral:sRNA from 1 species